GGGGAAUAUUGGACAAUGGGGGCAACCCUGAUCCAGCAAUGCCGCGUGUGUGAAGAAGGCCUGAGGGUUGUAAAGCACUUUCGGCGGGGAGGAGGAUGAGUUGGUUAAGAGCUGACUUAUUGGACGUUACCCGCAUAAGAAGCACCGGCUAACUCCGUGCCAGCAGCCGCGGUAAUACGGAGGGUGCGAGCGUUAAUCGGAAUUACUGGGCGUAAAGGGUGCGUAGGUGGUUAUGUAAGUUAUCUGUGAAAGCCCAGGGCUUAACCUUGGAUGUGCAGAUAAAACUGUGUAGCUAGAGUAUGAGAGAGGGUAGUGGAAUUUCCGGUGUAGCGGUGAAAUGCGUAGAGAUCGGAAGGAACACCAGUGGCGAAGGCGGCUACCUGGCUUAAUACUGACACUGAGGCACGAAAGCGUGGGGAGCAAAC
rnacentral:rRNA from 1 species